AAGGGUAUAACUCAGUGACAAAGUGCAUGCCUAGCAUCCAUGAGGUCCUGGGUUCAAUCCCCAGUACCUUUA
rnacentral:tRNA from 1 species